AUACUUACCUGGCAGGGGAGAUACCAUGAUCACGAAGGUGUUUUUCCUAAGGCCAAGCUUAUCCAUUGCACUCCGGAUGUAUUGACCCCUACGAUUUCCCCAAAUGUGGGAAACUUGACUGCAUAAUUUGUGGUAGUGGGGGACUGCGUUCGCACUUUCCCCUG
ensembl:snRNA U1 U1 spliceosomal RNA